rnacentral:rRNA from 1 species
UACGAAGGGGGCUAGCGUUGCUCGGAAUCACUGGGCGUAAAGGGCGCGUAGGCGGAUCUUUAAGUCGGGGGUGAAAGCCCAGGGCUCAACCCUGGAAUUGCCUUCGAUACUGAAGAUCUUGAGACCGGUAGAGGUAAGUGGAACUGCGAGUGUAGAGGUGAAAUUCGUAGAUAUUCGCAAGAACACCAGUGGCGAAGGCGGCUUACUGGACCGGUUCUGACGCUGAGGCGCGAAAGCGUGGGGAGCAAACAGG